rnacentral:rRNA from 1 species
UACGUAGGGGGCAAGCGUUGUCCGGAAUCAUUGGGCGUAAAGCGCGUGUAGGCGGCUCGAUAAGUCUGCUGUGAAAGUCCAGGGCUCAACCCUGGGAUGCCGGUGGAUACUGUCGGGCUCGAGUCCGGAAGAGGCGAGUGGAAUUCCUGGUGUAGCGGUGAAAUGCGCAGAUAUCAGGAGGAACACCAAUGGCGAAGGCAGCUCGCUGGAACGGUACUGACGCUGAGGCGCGAAAGCGUGGGGAGCAAACAGG